UGCCGUAGCUGCUCGAUGACCUCACAUAACCCACUCUGUGAUGUCAUAGCCCACUCUGUGACCUCAUGUCACCAGGUGAUAAAUUGUCUCCACCAGGUGAGCUGACACCUGGAGCUUGUUCUCCAAAACCCCAGGCCCAUGGAAACCACACAAUGCCCAUUGUGGGAGAAGGGGAACUGGAAGUUCACCAGCCUCAGUGUCCUGCCAGCUCAGCCAGGCCCACGGGAACAUUGGGGUCCACGACCACCAGGGACCACCAGAGAGACCCCCAGGACAGAAGAACACAUGGAAUAUGAACAGAAACUUUCCUGCACUCAGCAUGCUCGGCUUUGGGAGGAGCUAUCCCCCGUGCAUCCAGCUGAAUAAAGAAUGCUGCUUCUUAAUGCUG